rnacentral:rRNA from 1 species
UACGAAGGGGGCUAGCGUUGCUCGGAAUCACUGGGCGUAAAGGGUGCGUAGGCGGGUUUUUAAGUCAGAGGUGAAAUCCUGGAGCUCAACUCCAGAACUGCCUUUGAUACUGAAAGUCUUGAGUAUGACAGAGGUGAGUGGAACUGCGAGUGUAGAGGUGAAAUUCGUAGAUAUUCGCAAGAACACCAGUGGCGAAGGCGGCUCACUGGCCCGGUACUGACGCUGAGGUGACGAAAGGCGUGGGGAGCAAACAGG